AUUGAACGCUGGCGGCAGGCUUAACACAUGCAAGUCUAGCGAGUGGCGGACGGGUGCGUAAUGUCUGGGACACUGCCUGCUGGAGGGGGAUAACUACUGGAAACGGUAGCUAAUACCGCAUAACAUACUCUGAGCCCAAAUGGGAUGAGCUAGUAGGUGGGGUACUGGCUCACCUAGGCGACGAUCCCGAGCUGGUCUGAGAGGAUGACCAGCAACACUGGAACUGAGACACGGGCCAGACGCAUACGGGAGGCAGCAGUGGGGAAUAUGGCACAAUGGGCGCAAGCCUGAUGCAGCCAUGCCGCGUGUGUGAAGAAGGCCUUCGGGUUGUAAAGCACUUUCAGCGAGGAGGCGUUACUCGCAGAAGAAGCACCGGCUAACGCCGUGCCAGCAGCAGCGGUAAUAC
rnacentral:rRNA from 1 species